CGACUGUAGUGACCCCAACACUGUGGACAAGGCGUGACAAGGGGUCUCCACCUAAGAUGUCGUUCGUCGGGAGACUGAAAGAGUGGGUUCUUAGACGAACAGGUUCUAAGGCGGAUUUCACAUAGCACAACAAGCCGUUCCGGUCCUUGGUGGGUUUCAACUGUUUAUUCUUAGUUUUGUUAAGUAAGAGUUUUACGGUCCUCGCAACACAAUAAGGCCACACAAGAGCAGAAGUUUAGUGGUGUUACAAGAGAGUUACCAGCACAAAAAGGGAGGAGGAGGACGAAAGAUUCAUGAAGACGAUAGAUAGGAAGAAAGGCAAUAAACCACAUCAGAACACCCGGCAACCACCCACAAUGUUUAUCUUACGACGAAACAAUGUCCCGUUGUCACCCCGAGGAAAGAUAAACAGGCUUUCUUUAAAGGAAUAAAAAAGAAAAAUAACAAAA